CUUAAAAUUUUCUUUUUUAAUUCUUUUCCCAAUUAAAAACACCCAUAUACUGCAGACAAAUAAUUGACGGAAGGAGUGAACUUGAAAAAGACAUCUGUUCUGGAUUUUUGAUGACUAAUACCUGUAAUGCAGAAGACAGAGAACUGAGAGAAGACUGCAGAGAACAGGAAAUCAGAGAUGGUGGUUCUCUGAGAAUGAUUCACUUUGGUCUGGUGUAAACAUUAAGAAAAAAAGAAACCUGCCUUCUUCAUAUCUAAACUUUUUCAUGGCCUGAUACAGACUUAAAAUUCCCCGUGUGGAUUUUUAAUAAGAGACAGUAUGAAUUGUAUAAAUUAGUUAAGAGUUUUGAGUGUUUUCAAAAUAAAGUUUUAUUAUUUCAAAAACAUGCAGCAUAACAGCAAAGUGAUCCUAAGUAAAAGUCCUUAACCUACUUAUUUUCAAUAAUGUAAAAUUUUGAAAGUGUCUUAAAUUGUACAUUAAUUAGGUGCUACAAAAAUAGAAUAUUUAAACUUUGUUCUC
rnacentral:lncRNA from 1 species